CUAUACCUUAAGGGUAUAGUAGUGUUUAUUAGAUACAGAACCAUCACGCUCCAUUCUUGGGGUGUAAAGGGAGGUGAUUCAUAGUAGCCGAACGGAUCGCAUAAUGAUCAUAUUAUUAUGGUUGGCGAUAGAUCAUUCAAGUUUCUGACCUAUCAGCUUUCGACGGUAGUGUAUUGGACUACCGUGGCAGUGACGGGUAACGA
rnacentral:rRNA from 1 species